AUAGUCGCAGGCAGUAGACCCGAAACCAGGUGAUCUAGCCAUGCCCAGGGUGAAGGUGCGGUAACACGCACUGGAGUGCCCGAACCCACUCCUGUUGCAAAAGUAGGGGAUGAGGUGUGGCUAGGAGUGAAAAGCUAACCGAACCUGGAGAUAGCUGGUUCUCCUCGAAAGCUAUUUAGGUAGCGCCUCGUGCGAACACUCUUGGGGGUAGAGCACUGUUAUGGCUAGCGGGUCAUCGCGACUUAGCAAACCAUGGCAAACUCCGAAUACCAAGACGUGCUACACGGGAGACACACGGCGGGUGCGAACGUCCGUCGUGAAAAGGGAAACAACCCAGACCCACAGCUAAGGUCCCAAAAUCAUCGCUCAGUGGAAAACGAUGUGGAAAGGCAUAAACAGCCAGGAGGUUGGCUUAGAAGCAGCCACCCUUUAAAGAAAGCGUAAUAGCUCACUGGUCGAGUCGGUCUGCGCGGAAGAUUUAACGGGGCUAAGCGAUGUACCGAAGCUUGGGGUGCACAUAUUCUUCGGACUGUGUGCGCGGUAGAGGAGCGUUCUGUACGCCUGCGAAGGUGGAUCGAUAGGUCUGCUGGAGG
rnacentral:rRNA from 1 species